rnacentral:rRNA from 1 species
AUGGCAUCAAGCACCGGGGAGGAAGCUCCUGCCUCACCCGUUUUGGGAAAUGCUCCUCCAUUGGUGACCACGGAAGCCAAGAUGAUUGUGGCCAUCGGCCAUGACCAUUGCCAGCAGUUGAAGGAUGUGUUGAGCAAGGAGGAUUCUUCCACCAUGGUAGUGGUGAUGGCCUCAAGCAACCAGACUCCCACGCCGCCCAAGCCUCACUUGCCGGUCAUGGAUUCCAGGCUGCUAGCAGUAGCUUGCUCUGGUUCAUGGAAGAAGCUGCAAUCAUUUCUCAGUGGGGAAGGCCGUCAAACCUCCGGCGACGGGGCUAUCCGAAGCUCUGCUAUGCAGCCAGCUUUUGGUGACGAAGAAGCACUUCUCAGGGAGUCUUUCCUGGAUGCGGUCACCAUGGACGGUGACACUUUUCUCCAUGUGAUGGCCACCAACAGUGAUGGCGACAACUUGGAGGAAGAUGGCCCCAUACGCAGGAAGGCAGUAAGCCUCCUCUUCAUGCAAAACAGCCAGGGAGAUACGCCCCUGCACUAUGCUGCACGGGCGGCGAAAAUCAAUAUGGUAUCUUUUCUCAUUGAUCUUGCUGGAGGCAAGGAUCAAAAUGCUGACAGAGUGAAGGCGCUGCUAGAAAUGGAAAACAAGAGUAAAUGGACAGUCUUGCAUGAGGCGGUCCGCAGUGGGAAAAAUGAUAUAGUCGAAUUGCUCAUGAAGGAGGAUCCAGAAUUGGCAAGUCUUCCAAAAGCUGGUACUUCUCCGCUGUACCUAGCCAUCUUACUGGAAAACAGAAUCAUCGCCGAAACACUCUACAAGUUGAGCCGCGGGAAAAGCGGCAGUAACGACGAGAACCUUUCAUACUCUGGACCAAGUGGACAAAAUGCAUUGCAUGCUGCUGUUCUCCGAGGCAAAGGUCUUACAGAGAUGGUGUUAGGAUGGAAUAACGACCUUACAGCACAACAAGAUGAUAAGGGAAGUACAGCUCUUCACUUAGUUGCAUCUAUGCCACGUCAAAAAGACCGACGAUACAUACGUUUACUUCUACUGGAAGCCAAUCCAGAUGCAUUGUAUCAAAUGGACAAUGAUGGAUCAUUCCCCAUACACGUGGCUGCAUCCGUUGGCUCAAGAAUUACCAUCAAUGUCUUUCUUCAGAAAUCGCCCAGUUGCGCUGGUCUACGUGAUGCUAGGGGAAGGACAUUUCUUCAUGUUGCAGUUGACAAAAUGAAAAUAUGGCCGGUCUGGUCUGCUUGCAGAAACCAGUCGUUAUCAUGGAUUUUAAAUAUGCAAGACAAUGGUGGAAACACUGCACUGCAUUUAGCCGUCCAAAAAGGAACACUGAUGAUAUUCUGUGCUAUAUUUGGGAAUAAACAAGUGCACUUAAAUUUAACAAAUGAGAAAGGAGAGACCCCGCUUGAUAUAGCACAUUGCAAUAUUCCCAAAGAAUUGCAUUAUAACCAGAACGCUGAAGUAAAAAUACAUCUAGCGCUCCAAGUCGCUGAUGCUAAACGGGGCAUUUGUCGCCUGGAUUACUUUGAAGAAAAUGAUAUUGUCCAAGUGAGAAAAGAUGAAAUGGAGAAAGUGAAAGAAGGGACAGGCAGUCUGUGUAUUGGCUCUGUCCUAAUUGCAACUGUGACUUUUGCUGCAUCUUUCGCCAUCCCUGGAGGUUACAGGGCUGAUGACCACACUAAUGGGGGCACACCAACGCUUGCUGGAAAGUAUACUUUUGAUGUGUUCACCAUAGCCAAUGCACUUGCCUUCACUUUCUCUGCAAUGGCUACUAUUUCUCUCAUGUUUUCUGGAUCUCCCAUGGUAUCUCUUCCAAUCCGGAAAAUGCACAUACAAUUGGCCUAUUUUCUCAUGGGGAUUUCGGUUACAAACUUGACAACUGCCUUUGCACUUGGUAGCUAUACGAUGUUAGCUCCAGUUGCCCAUAAGAUUGCCAUUGCAGUAUGUGUCAUGAGUUUUCUCGUAUUGCUAUAUCAGAAUUUGGACCUGACAAUCAAGAAUUGUGUUCUUGUGUCACCGUUGUUGAGGAGAAAGGGGAUAUGUUAUAGGAUAGUCACUAUCCCAUUGACAGCAUUCAUGUUCAUGGGCUCUGUUCUAUUUCAACUUCUUCCUGUAGUUGUGGUCUUUUAUUUGACUGUGUUAAGUCAUACCGGUCACAAAGUGGAACCAGCCGCACAACCACCGACACCAUUAGCUUGA